rnacentral:rRNA from 1 species
CCUACGGGAGGCAGCAGUGAGGAAUAUUGGUCAAUGGACGCAAGUCUGAACCAGCCAUGCCGCGUGCAGGAAGACGGCCCUAUGAGUUGUAAACUGCUUUUGUACGAGGGUAAACGCAGAUACGCGUAUCUGUCUGAAAGUAUCGUACGAAUAAGGAUCGGCUAACUCCGUGCCAGCAGCCGCGGUAAUACGGAGGAUUCAAGCGUUAUCCGGAUUUAUUGGGUUUAAAGGGUGCGUAGGCGGUCGGAUAAGUUAGAGGUGAAAUCCCGAGGCUCAACUUCGGAAUUGCCUCUGAUACUGUUAGGCUAGAGAGUAGUUGCGGUAGGCGGAAUGUAUGGUGUAGCGGUGAAAUGCUUAGAGAUCAUACAGAACACCGAUUGCGAAGGCAGCUUACCAAGCUGCAUCUGACGUUGAGGCACGAAAGCGUGGGGAGCAAACAGGAUUAGAUACCCGUGUAGUC